AUGACGCUGGCGGAUGUUUACACACGCAAGUUUAACGGCAGCACGGACUUACGGUCUGGUGGCGAUGUGGCGAACGGGUGAGUAAUACAUCGGAACGUGCCCAGUCGUGGGGGAUAACGUAGCGAAAGCUACGCUAAUACCGCAUACGAUCUAAGGAUGAAAGCGGGGGAUCGCAAGACCUCGCGCGAUUGGAGCGGCCGAUGGCAGAUUAGGUAGUUGGUAGGGUAAAGGCCUACCAAGCCGACGAUCUGUAGCUGGUCUGAGAGGACGACCAGCCACACUGGGACUGAGACACGGCCCAGACUCCUACGGGAGGCAGCAGUGGGGAAUUUUGGACAAUGGGCGAAAGCCUGAUCCAGCCAUUCCGCGUGCAGGAUGAAGGCCCUCGGGUUGUAAACUGCUUAUGUACGGAACGAAAAGGUCCUGGUUAAUACCUGGGGCUCAUGACGGUACCGUAAGAAUAAGCACACGGCUAACUACGUGCCAGCAGCCGCGGUAAUACGUAGGGUGCCACGCGUUAAUCGGAAUUACUGGGCGUCACCGCGUGCGCAGGCGGUGAUGUAAGACAGAGGUCGAAAUCCCCGGGCUCAACCUGGGAACUGCUUUGUGACUGCAUCGCUAGGAGUACGGAGAGGGGGAUGGAAUUACCGACGUGUACGCAGUUGAAAUGCGUCGAAUAUUGCGGAGGAACACCGAUUGGCGAAAGGCAACACCACUGGGCC
rnacentral:rRNA from 1 species